AACGAACGCUGGCGGCAGGCUUAACACAUGCAAGUCGAACGCAUCCUUCGGGGUGAGUGGCAGACGGGUGAGUAACGCGUGGGAAUCUACCCAGUUCUGCGGAACAACAGUUGGAAACGACUGCUAAUACCGCAUACGCCCUACGGGGGAAAGAUUUAUCGGAAUUGGAUGAGCCCGCGUUGGAUUAGCUAGUUGGUGAGGUAAUGGCUCACCAAGGCGACGAUCCGUAGCUGGUCUGAGAGGAUGAUCAGCCACACUGGGACUGAGACACGGCCCAGACUCCUACGGGAGGCAGCAGUGGGGAAUAUUGGACAAUGGGCGCAAGCCUGAUCCAGCCAUGCCGCGUGAGUGAUGAAGGCCUUAGGGUUGUAAAGCUCUUUCAGUGGGGAAGAUAAUGACGGUACCCACAGAAGAAGCCCCGGCUAACUUCGUGCCAGCCGCCGCCGUAAUAC
rnacentral:rRNA from 1 species